CACGUAGGGCGCAAGCGUUUGUCCGGAAUUAUUGGGCGUAAAGAGCUCGUAGGCGGUCUGUUGCGUCCGCUGUGAAAACUCGGGGCUUAACCCCGAGCCUGCAGUGGAUACGGGCAGACUAGAGGUAUGCAGGGGAGAACGGAAUUCCUGGUGUAGCGGUGAAAUGCGCAGAUAUCAGGAGGAACACCGGUGGCGAAGGCGGUUCUCUGGGCAUUACCUGACGCUGAGGAGCGAAAGUGUGGGGGAGCGAACAGG
rnacentral:rRNA from 1 species